UAGGAAGAUCAUUCAGUUCCAGUCACCCAGGCUAGCACUGGCUGCUCCAAGCCAGACCCAUGCGCUGCCAGUGGUCAAGUCCAGUCCAGGGCCCAGGCACUGAGUGGCGCUCAGCCGGGAGCCGGGAGCCUGGCUCGCGUGCCCUUGGGCAGGUGUUUUGGGCACUUAGCAAAGCAGCGCGCCUAAGAGGUCGCGGUCCAUUGCCGGCCGCGCGCGCUGUGAACGCGGACUCUGGCGCGCACACUGCCCUGCCAGCCCUCAGCGCCCGCCCGUGGGCCGUGUUCGCUCGGGGCGCGCACUGGCCAGGCCCGCCUCCGCUGGUUUUCGCUUUCGCUUUGCAGCUACUCUGCAGAGAAACAAAGCAGCCUCGACGACUGGAGUUGCGUUCGCGGUGAGGGGAGCUGAGCGCGGCGACCUGGACCCCGGACCCACAGGUGAGGUGGCAGCAUGUCCUGGGCCUCCUUGUGAUGGCAGGAGGCUAAGAAAGAGGAAAAUGGAGUCCCUCCUCCUGGAGACUUGCUUGAGAGCCAGCCAUGAGUGCCCAUGGAAUGUAAAAGUGCCUCGGCCCCCCGGAACUGGAGUGGCAAACAGUUACAAGCAGUCAAACCUGGACCCUCUGCAAGAGCAAGAAGUCCUCUUACCUGCUGAGCCAUCUCUCCAGCUCCAGCUUGAGACAUCUCAGUGGAUCUGCUUUUCCAGUGCAUUUGAAACUCCUGGUGCCUGCAUCUCCCCUGAACCCCAAAGAUCCCAAAGAAUUUGUUAUAAAUUAAAAUAAAUGAAAAUUUUUUUUAUUAAAGGAUUACAUAAACGAAAUAAAGCACAAAGCAUCAAUGUAAA